rnacentral:rRNA from 1 species
GUGAGGAAUAUUGGUCAAUGGGCGGGAGCCUGAACCAGCCAAGUCGCGUGAAGGAAGAAGGAUCUAUGGUUCGUAAACUUCUUUUGCAGGGGAAUAAAGUGCAGGACGUGUCCUGUUUUGUAUGUACCCUGAGAAUAAGGAUCGGCUAACUCCGUGCCAGCAGCCGCGGUAAUACGGAGGAUCCGAGCGUUAUCCGGAUUUAUUGGGUUUAAAGGGUGCGUAGGUGGUUUGAUAAGUCAGCGGUGAAAGUUUGCAGCUUAACUGUAAAAAUGCCGUUGAAACUGUCGGACUUGAGUGUAAAUGAGGUAGGCGGAAUGCGUGGUGUAGCGGUGAAAUACAUAGAUAUCACGCAGAACUCCGAUUGCGAAGGCAGCUUACUAAGCUACAACUGACACUGAAGCACGAAAGCGUGGGGAUCAAACAGGAUUAGAAACCCGGGUAGUCC